UACGGAGGGUGCAAGCGUUAUCCGGAUUCACUGGGUUUAAAGGGUGCGUAGGCGGGCUAUUAAGUCAGUGGUGAAAGCCCCAAGCUUAACUUGGGAACUGCCAUUGAUACUGAUGGUCUUGAGUACAUUAGAGGUGGGCGGAAUGUGUCAUGUAGCGGUGAAAUGCUUAGAUAUGACACAGAACACCGAUUGCGAAGGCAGCUCACUAAACUGUAACUGACGCUGAGGCACGAAAGCGUGGGGAGCAAACAGG
rnacentral:rRNA from 1 species